rnacentral:lncRNA from 1 species
UCACAUCUUUGCACCCUUUUCAUAUUUGAAAAUUGCUCUAAUGACAUUAAAAAUAUGAGAAAUAUUCCCUUUGCUGGAGUACAGAAAUGCUAAGUAUUGCAUCAAAUCUUUCACCAAUUUACAAUGAUUCACUGACUGAACCACCUUAUUGUCCAUCGAAUUGCAUAUCAUUAAAUGCAGUCGAGCAUCAUCUCUCAACCAAGCUUGUUUUCUAUCAUCAGUGGGAGGAUCAUUAGUUAAAUGAUAACCUUUUUCAACACUCAUUAGAUAUAAUUCCACAAUCUAAUUUCAGCCCAAAUAAUUUGUACUAUCAAAUCUGUCUUCUAUAAUUUUUGUUACUGCAGGAAUCACUUUCAACACAAUAUUCUUUUUCUCAGACAUUCUCAAGCAAAGAAGAAUUCAAAAUAGGGGUAGAAACACAGAAUAGAAACUAAACAAGAAUUGAAUAAAUAUCUGGAUAUGAAGAGAAAUCUCACAACCACGUAAAUUUGAAAGGAACUGAAUGUGAAGGAUGAAAGUGGGAGUAAGGGCGACUCAUGCGAAGCUGACCGCUGUGACUAACGCGCAGGGACUCCGGCAACCAAACUCUGGACAGUGACUAAUUGGAGGGUGGCGCACCUCUUGGUAUAGAUGGUGACAAUAACCAGAAGUUAGAAGAUGAUAAACUGAGAAAUCAGACCUUGGAUCGUCUGAAACAAAAAUGCCAGAAAACUCAAAAGUCAAAAAAAAAAUUGAAAUAGGAUUUCAGUGCUCUGAUACCAUAUUAUAGUAUAAAGAGAUGAAAGAAAUAUUUUGUGUGUAUUGAUCAACAAAAUAUACAGGUAUUUAUACAAAAUUAUAAGGUAUAAAUUAGAAAAUAUUAUAAUCUAAUUCCUACAAGUCAGCCCUAUAAUCAAGCUCUGUAAUCUCUACACAUCAUCCCUAUAAUCAAGCUCUAAUUAUUUCUGUCCUAAUCAACAUUAUAGCUGUAAUAUAUGUCAAAGCCGUAAGCUGGUGAGGCAAGUCAGUUGAUGAAGGUGAGUGUUGGUCCCAGAAAGGAUGCGAUUAACUUGGUGAUUGUUUUCUAUUUAACGGUCAUAAAUGAUCUGACCAACAUAUCAAGUAUUAUUAUAAUGCACUAGUUAGGAAAUUGUCUUUUCAUUUUGCACGUGAUUCAUUCCUGUGAGGAUAGAUAAUAUUUUCCCGCUGCUUCAAUUAGCUGCAUUGAUUUAGCUUUCAUUGUUUAGUGGUAGUUCUAUAUCCUUUCAUUAAUUGAAAACUAAUCUUUUAUGC